UACGUAGGGGGCUAGCGUUGUCCGGAAUCAUUGGGCGUAAAGCGCGCGUAGGCGGCCAGAUAAGUCCGGUGUGAAAGCCACAGGCUCAACCUGUGAAUGCCGCUGGAAACUGUCUGGCUAGAGUCCGGGAGGGGCGAGUGGAAUUCCUGGUGUAGCGGUGAAAUGCGUAGAUAUCCGAAGGAACAUCAGUGGCGAAAGCGACUUCCUGGACCAGAACUGACGAUCAGGCACGAAAGCGUGGGGAGCAAACAGG
rnacentral:rRNA from 1 species